UACGGUCACAUUGCGUUGAAACACCGGUUUCCGUAUGAUCACCGAACUUAAGCAAAGUCUAGCCUUGUCAGUACCCAAAUGGAUGACCGCUUGGGAAUACCAGGUGCUGUAAG